rnacentral:rRNA from 1 species
AACGAACGCUGGCGGCAGGCUUAACACACGCAAGUCGAACGGGUGUAGCAAUACAUCAGUGGCAGACGGGUGAGUAACACGUGGGAACCUUCCUAGGGGUACGGAACAACUCAGGGAAACUUGAGCUAAUACCGUAUACGUCCGUGAGGAGAAAGAUUUAUCGCCCUUAGACGGGCCCGCGUCGGAUUAGCUAGUUGGUGGGGUAACGGCCUACCAAGGCGACGAUCCGUAGCUGAUCUUAGAGGAUGAUCAGCAAAACUGGGACUGAGACACGGCCCAGACUCCUACGGGAGGCAGCAGUGGGGAAUCUUGGACAAUGGGCGCAAGCCUGAUCCAGCCAUGCCGCGUGAGUGAAGAAGGUCUUCGGAUUGUAAAGCUCUUUUGCCAGGGACGAUAAUGACGGUACCUGGAGAAUAAGCCCCGGCAAACUUCGUGCCAGCCGCCGCCGUAA